UAAUAAAAAAGAUCGGAUAAAAUUUAUUCGUCUUUUGAAAACAACAAAACAAUCUGUUUCAGCAACAUUAGAUAAUUCUGAAUCUAGCUAUACUGCAGUUGUAUCAAGUGUUAUCAGUGUAAAUAAUGAAAAGGGCUAAACAACAAACAGUGGCAGUUUUCCAGAAAUUGAAGAAGCUGAAUGUGUACAUAGCCAGGUGCAAGAAUUUCCUUUUGUAUAUCAGUUGCCACUUUUUCCGGAUAAUGUUGUAGCUAAGCUACAAUGUCAAGACAAGGCUAGUUUUGGAUUAGGCUCAAAAAGCAAAGCGCUCUUAAUUGAUGCACUAUUUGAUGACUUAAAAAGGCGUGACAUUUUGUAUCCAACCAGAAGAAUAUAUUCUGCUGUUAGCUCAGCAGUUAUAUUAAAAUAUCCUUUUUUGGCUGAUUAUGAUGGAAGUAGUGUAAUGCAAUUACCAUUUUAUAUAUUAUUGAUUAUAUUUAUAUUUGUCAUCAUUUGUUAAAUAUGAAAAUUGUAUUGUAAAAUUUAAUAUAUAUGUCUAUUUCACAUUUUAAAUAAGUAAUUUGAGUUUAGAAUACGAUUAGAGUAGCUCUUCGAAGGAAAUUUAAAAAAAAACAGACAACCCCUUUGUAGCGAAAAUCCAAUUGCUGUAACAAGAGAAAAAUUUGGAAGACCUGGUGUUUCGGGAAGAAAACGAAAAGUAGAUCAAGUUGAAAUUAAUUAUCCUGACAACAGUACCCUCUCAAAAACAGCUUGAGUUAAGUUGGCUAAUGUGGUACAAGGUGAUGAUGACAUAAGCAUAAAAAAACAUCAAGAUGCUUUAAAAAAAGAAAUAAAAAAACAGACACCAAGCUUUGAUAUAAUCAAAGAUAAAAUGAAAAAAACUUGUGAGUACAGACAACUUUUCUGCCAUGCCCACACAAUUGCAGAAGUUCUGGAAGAAUUUCCGUGUUUACGACUAAAUAUUUUUAUUGGAAGGUGAUGUUUGUUACAUUGCUGUUACCCUCAUUAUUUGGGGAGAAAGAAGAGUUGUUUUUUCCCUUACCAAAGCAUCAAAUACCACUUAGUCUAGUCAUAUUGUCACAAG
rnacentral:lncRNA from 1 species